rnacentral:rRNA from 1 species
AAGAAAGGCGGCUAGCGUUGUUCGGAAUUACUGGGCGUAAAGCGCACGUAGGCGGACUGUCAAGUCAGGGGUGAAAUCCCGGGGCUCAACCUCGGAACUGCCUUUGAUACUGUCAGUCUAGAGUCCGGAAGAGGUGGGUGGAAUUCCUAGUGUAGAGGUGAAAUUCGCAGAUAUUAGGAAGAACACCGGUGGCGAAGGCGGCCCACUGGUCCGGAACUGACGCUGAGGUGCGAAAGCGUGGGGAGCAAACAGG